rnacentral:lncRNA from 1 species
AGCUACAUCCGUCACCUGACACGGCCCUACCAGGAACAGCCGCGCUCCCGCGGAUUCUGGUGCUGCUCGCGUCCCCGCUCCCCUAUUCCCCUUAUUUUAUUCCUGGCUCCCCUCGUCGAAAGUCUUCCAUUCUUCAAACUAGAUUAUUUAAAAAUGAAAAAGGAAGAAAGGAAAGCGAGGUCAUCUCAUUGCUCUAUCCGCCAAUCAGGAGGCUGAAUGUCAGUUUUGAACUAAAAGCCGCUCCGCUCCUCUUCUAGAUUUGGAAAACAAGCGAAAUUAAACUAAACCGCUGCACGCCUCUGACGCGACAUCUGGACACGGCGCGGCGCUGGCGCUGCCGGAGCUGUCGACCCGGCCUGGCGCCGGACUAGUGUCCCUUUUGAUGAGAAGAAUAAGCCUCAUUCUGAUUCAACAGCAGAGAUCAAAGAAAAGACUUCUGUUUUCUGGCCACCAGAUAUAUGUUAUCUGUGCUUAAAGAAUUGAAAAACACACAUCAAAGGAGAAUUUUCUUGGAAAGAGAGGGUUCAAGCAUCACUGUUAGGUGUGCUGGAAUCCUUUCCCGAGUCAGUACUGCUUUCUAGAAGAAAACCGGGGAGAUCUAUUUGGAAUGUAUCUAACUCCAAAGAAACCAUCAGAGGUAACAGUAGAGACGGGGUUUCACCAUGUUGGCCAGACUGGUCUUGAACUCUCGACCUCGUGAUUCGCCCGCCUCGGCCUCCCAAAGUGCUGGGAUUACAGGUGUGAGACACCACACCCGGCGGAUAGAGAGAAUUUUGACAGUAUCUUACAGACAGCAAGUUGAACAUUGUGGGAUGCAUGAGCUAUUGAGGCCUUUGCAGCUUUCUGCUACAUGGAGGCUAGGGCCAGAGUCAAGAUUUAUGCUUUGCAGCACACUGGUCAGCUGUUUUUGCAAAUCAGAUUAAAUGAUUUUUAAAUGAGGCUGAGAGCAUGGGAGAUACUAAUGUGUGUUUCCUUGUGAGCUACUGCAUAAGUUAGGAAAUUGAAAUACAGAAAGAUGAAAAGUGAUUUGCCCAAGCAUAUAGAUCAAAGCUGUGGCAGAACCAGGACUGGAACCUAUAUCUCUCUACUAAUGGUUUUUUUAAAAAAAUAACCUUGUUUCAAAAAUAUUAAAAAGUCACAAGAAAGGUAAACAUGUGGAUAAACAAAAUGAAGAAAAUAAAAAUUAUCCAGUAAUAACAUA